CCCCGGAACCUCCAAGGCUGAGCUGACGCCGCAGCGGCCGCGUCACGUCCCAAGAGCUCAGCUCCGUCGGGGACAGCCUGAGCAGCGCGCGAUGCAGGCGGAAGGAUGCGGGGAGCCCCUUCGUCAGGUGUUCGUAGAGUUUCCGAAACUCCUCGAAUCUGGAGACAUCCGUACCGGAGCGAGCUUCUGAGGGUCCGGGAAAGGCCGGGAGGUGCUCCUGGGCCAAAGACAGGGCACCUCCCGAAGGCAGCCAGCAGAGCAUCAGCAGCAUCAGCAGCAUCAGCAGCAUUGGUGGUGUGGGUCCGGGCCCAGGCAUGCCUGUGCUGGCUGAGUUCUGAACUGAGACACCGGACGCUGCUGGACUGGCCUUUAUAAUCCCCGGACUUUGUCCGCCCCCGCCUGCCUGGUCCCUUCCGCUCUGGGUGCAGAGUAAACACUCCAGGGACCAUACAUGGCUGAGUCUUGGGCUGCUUUUAAGGGGGAGGCCCUUCUGGGGAGUUCUCCUGGGGAAGUGGGGGACGCCCUCCCCCCCAGAAGCCUCUUUGAGCCUCAGUAUCCUCUAUGAGAUGGGGACUUCCUUCCAGCUUGGUGGACUGGUGAAAAGAAUGCUUUUGUCAGAAAAAGACUUAUUUGUAUGUGCUCAAUUCCAUAGCAAGCGCUUAAGAGGAGGCCUUCUCCCUCAUGGGAUUUUCUCUCUCCCUUCCUGGUUAGGGUCAAAGGCUCCAGAUGCUGAAAACCAAAGGAAGCAGAGGAGAAAGGACCAGAAGGAGCCAGAAGGUACAGCCUUAGGCAAGUCAUUCCCCUUCAUCCCACUUCUGUUUCUUCAUCCGGAAAACAAGAACUGAGACUUUCACUGGAGAGAAGUUCAAAUGGGGCAUAAACGACAGGGCCAGACCCGUAGGAGGUUGUGUGAUUGACUGAGUGUUUUUGCAGUCCCUGAUCCUUAGGGGGAACUCCUGCUCGUUCUUCAAAACCCUACCCAAAAAGCUCCUCCUCCAGGAAGCCUUGCCUACCAUUACCUUUCCAGGCUCAGCCGCAUGCUCCCAACCCCCAUCCUUUCCUUCAGCGCAGACCUGACCUCACAGCACUGGGAGUAUCUGUGCUUGGCUCUGUCUGCCCCAGACUGGAGGCCCUUUGAAGACUUAGACAGAGAUGAAGCUACUCUGGGGCCCAGUGCAGAGUGGAGGGGGCAGGGAAUUGGAGGGCUGUUAUCAGGCCCACCACCAGAUGGUAGAGGGCAAGAGGUGCCCUAGGAAGACCCAGGCCUUCCCCUCAGACCCUUCUCUGGCCCCAGGCACUGGCCCCUGUGCCUGUUUCUUGGCCACAGGGAAGACGGGCAGCAGUUGAGGCAGAUCGUGGGGAUGUGUAAAGUGUGACAGCGUGUGCAGGCAAGAGGUGACAAGGGCUUGCUGCGGGUCACACAGCAAAUCCCCACACUGCAGGAACACGGUCGGGCCUCCCCGCCACCCCCAAUAUGCACCCACUGGCUGUGUGAGCCCAGCCAAGGCUCACCCCCCCACCCCCCCGCCACCUCCGCCGAGUCUCAGUCUCAGCCUCUCUGCAGUGGGAUUACCGCCCAGCUAUGGGUCUCAAGUAUCCCUCUGUGAUGCCCGGGGCAUUCAGGUGCUUAGUAAACAGACCGGCUCCUGCCACUGUCACUACCAUCUUGACAGGGGCUGUUGGGAAGAUGGGCCUCUUGCCCCACCAGCUUGGCCCACACAGUAAGAGCUCAAAAAGGGUCCUGGACUGACUAGACAAGGAGCUGGGGCCACUGUGCGGCCGCACUGCUAUGCCCUCCGCAGAGGCCAGGCGCCAAAGGUGAGCGAGAGUGCUGAGUAAUCCUAACGUGGUAGGGGCAGGUCAGCAAGGGUCACCAGUGCCUAGGUCUGACCUCACCUGGGGUGGGUGGGGCAGAGAGGGCGCUUUCCCUGCAAGAUCAAUAAUGGUGAGAUGCCAACUUUCACCAGAGUUCACGCUGCAGGCACUGUUCAUACACUUUUCUCUUAAGGGAACCAAACCAGGAGGGGCAAGUAAGAUUGUAGGGGGCAACUCCACACUGGAGACCAGCCUUUGGCUGACUGUUUUCCUGGCAUUUCUAAGCCUGUGAUAGGAUUCUGAAGUUCCCUCUGUCUAGGACUGUUUUCCUUCCUUCCUUCUUUCCUUCCUUCCUUCCUUCCUUCCUUCCUUUCUCUCUUCCCCCCCCCCCCAAAUUUAAAAGCCUCAUAAAGAGUUUUUCCUGAUCCAGGUCCCAACAGACUGGACAUUUGUCAGCUCCAGAGAAGCUGGCCUGGGUUGACAUUCUGGCCCACUUCUCCCUGGCCAUGACAUGUGGGACAAGGCAUCAACCGGCAGGGCCUCGGUUUCCCCAUCUGUAAAAAGUGGUAAUGGCAUUCUGAGUCAGGGCUGUGGGGAGAACACACAGGGAGUGGGAAUUUUUGCACACGCUGUGGGUCAACACGAUCGUGAUUCAAAUCCUAGUGCCACCCACUUUGCUGUGUGACCAUAGGCAAGUACUCAAACUCUCUGUGCAUAGAACAAAAGCAGUGUGGGUCGUGAGGAAGGAGAACAUUAAGUACAGAAAUCUUACCAUUCUUAACUCAGCAAACUCACAAGAGCCAACACAAACUGGGCACCAGGUCACACGCCAAGGACAGAGAUCCUUGUGAAUCAGGGCCCCCUCUGCCCACUGAUGCUCCCAGGCAGAGGACAACCCUGGUGGAGGCUAACCUCUCACGAAGACGUGAGAAAUCACCUAUUUAAGCUGUUUUAUUUGCCUUCCGGGGUGUCAAGUUUGGGCAAAGUCCAGCAGACCCUGGGGUCCCUGGCACAGGGGCUUCAGACAAGGCAUUCACAGGAACUCUGGGCGUCAGGGAGAAGACCGCCAGAGGAUGUAGGGCCCAAGCCCUCCUUUGGGGACAGAAGAUACAGUCACUUUCAGCAGGAACAGUUUGUCCUAAAGAGAGAUUUCGAGCGGGAUAGAAACCUGAGAUGUUAAGGGAGCCCCAGAAACAUGUCAGGUACCCCCAAGGCAAGCAGAAAGCCACCUCUGCUCCCCCAAAGCCAGAUGAUGCCUCCUGUAUUGUCCAGGGAAACUGCAUGCCUUGGGAGCAGGGAGCCCAAUUCCAAACUGACUUCCUCUGGGAUUUCCUCAGGACAGAGUGUGUCGCCACAAAAACCACUUGCCCCAGACCCCACCCCUUUUGAACCCUUGGAUGACCCCAACCCAAGCAGUGAGGAGCCGGCCCCCUCUCCGAGCCUGGGGUUGCUUCUCUCUUUCUCAUCGUGUCCCCUUUCUCUGUGCCCCAUGUGUACUGGGGAGGCAGGCACUUCUGUGGGUCUCUGGGUAGCUGAAGGUAGGUUUGAUGAGGAGAGGAAGGAAGAGAAAUGAAUUUGGGGGAAGGAAGAGCAGCUAAAGGCUGGACUGUUUUCCUUCAUGAUCUGUGAGUUCUCAACCCCCAGCUUGUGAUAAAUGAGCUUCAGUUUCCCUGUCCGUAAAAGGUGGUAAUGGCACCCCCCAUCAUCCCUUCACAGGGAUGUAAGGAGGACUCAUAGGCAGGGAGAGAGUCAGGGGACAAGGUCUGUUGGAAUGUGCACUCAGGAUCUGUUAGGAAUUAAGUUUCAAGAUGUGGACAUUAGCUAGUGCCUGCCUCACCCUAAGUGCUGCCAUUCUGACCUGUGGGCUUAGAGGCAAAGUGGCAGCAUUGCGGUUAAGCUAUGAGACAUAUCCCAAAUGGUGUAUGUCCAGUCUUUUUGUGGAUCUGGUGUUCCAGGGGCCUGGAUGCUACCUCUGGGGUGACAAGGAGCUGACUCCCAGGCCCACGUGUUGCCUCGGGGACCAUAAGACUCAUAGUGACCUUGGCAGUGGGAGCAGGAUUUCUCAUGGGCAGGAGAGAUGCUAGGCUGGAGGUUUCCUGUGGAGAGAGAAAAAGAAACUGGUAACUCGUGGGACUCCUAUGUGCUAGGCGCAGGGUGCCCAUUUCUUCCCACACACCAAGGCGGAUCCCACCUCAGGGCCUUUGCACAAGCUGCUUCCUCUUCCUGGCAUACUAGUCCCCUGAAUCUCAGCAUGGCAGGCUACAUAUCCCUCCAGCCUGCCUAAUACAGGCACUGCCCCAUUUUCUUUCAUUACGUGUCACUUCAUCUCCCCUACUAGAAUCUUAGUAGGAGUUUCUGUCUGUCCAGUCACCACCAUGUCUGGUACACAGUGGGUGCUUGGUAAGUACUGGCAGGAAUUCAUGUAUAUCUGAUAUUUAGAGGGACUAAGAGCCAAACAGUGGUUCUGCCUCCUCUGGAAGUCAAAAACAUUUUAUUGAAGGCCUGCUAAGUCCCUGGGGCUAUAACAACCAGCUACCGCGUUUUCAACUCUCUGGAUCUUGGUUUCCAUGUCUGAGCAAUGAAGGGUACCAGACCACACAGGGUGCCUAACUUCCGGAUUCCUUGGACCCUUAGGAUCCUCAGACACACAGCCCCCCAAGCUGGUCCAGGUCUUGGGGACAACUGUGGAGUGGGCCUGAGAUUCUAGGGCCCUCAACCUAGUUACUAGGUUCAGAGAGGACCCAAGUUUACUUGGAAAAUAUACAGCACAGGCAAGACCAGGGAGGGUUCAGAGCGCUCUCCGGAUCCUGACACCUUCCCCCACCAAACUCCUUCCAGAGGAUCAUAUAGCCCAGUUCUUGAGGGCACCUUCUGCUGGCAACUUUAGCAGUGUUUGGCCCUCGAUUGCCUCAAAUCUGGAACCAACCUAAGCAGGUUCCUUCCCCUCACCCCUGCACAUAUCUCCCCCCUGACCCCCACCAACGGUAAGAACGAUGCCCUCCUGGCACCUGCCUCUGGGUUCUGCAGGCCCUGUGCACUUUCAGGAGAGUUGCUGACCCCUCUGGGCCUCAUUUUCUCCAUCUGUGAUCAGGGCAGGGUUAUAAUAAUCCCAUGCUGACCGAGCCCCACCCUGUGUGGCUGCGCAGAUGAGGCUGCUGGCUCCUUCUUCAGUCAUGAGGGGAGAUGGGCUAUUCCUGCCCAGUUCACAGAUGGGGAGUAACUGAGGUUCAGCAGUGGGUCUCUGGGACACAGAACCACUGGUUAGAUGUGGGGACUGCCCCAAAGGGUCUCUGAGAUUUCACUCACACUUUAGGAUCUGGUUGGCGUUUGAGUCUUUCAAGUUCUUGUUCAAUGGCAGCAUGGUCAGGGUGUCUUAGAAAGGUUUCUGCAACUUCUGGAGUCUGGGGACAUCCAGACUGGAUCGCAUCUCAGAGGGCCCGGUCAAAGGCUCCAGAUGUUGAAAACCAAAGGAAGCAGAGGAGAAAGGACCAGAAGGAGCCAGAAGGUACAGCCUUAGGCAAGUCAUUCCCCUUCAUCCCACUUCUGUUUCUUCAUCCGGAAAACAAGAACUGAGACUUUCACUGGAGAGAAGUUCAAAUGGGGCAUAAACGACAGGGCCAGACCCGUAGGAGGUUGUGUGAU